GGGAGCGAUCAUACCAGUAUUAAUGCACCGGAUCCCAUCAGAACUCUUCAGUCAAGUGUGCUUGGGCGAGAGUAGUACUAAGUUGGGUAACCACUUGGGAAGUCCUCGUGUUGCAUCCC